rnacentral:rRNA from 1 species
UACGUAGGGUGCGAGCGUUGUCCGGAAUUAUUGGGCGUAAAGAGCUCGUAGGCGGUGUGUCACGUCGUUCGUGAAAACCUGCAGCUUAACUGUGGGCGUGCGGUCGAUACGGGCAUCACUGGAGUUCGGCAGGGGAGACUGGAAUUCCUGGUGUAGCGGUGAAAUGCGCAGAUAUCAGGAGGAACACCGGUGGCGAAGGCGGGUCUCUGGGCCGACACUGACGCUGAGGAGCGAAAACGUGGGGAGCAAACAGG